AACGCUGGCGGCGUGCCUAACACAUGCAAGUCAACUUGACUGAAGGAGCAAUCUGACAGUAGAGUGGCGCAAGGGUGCGUAACGCGUAAGUAACUUGCCCAAGGUAAGGAAUAACGUCGAGAAAUCGGCGCUAAUACCUCAUAAUGCAGCGGAUCCGCAUGGAUAUGUUGUUAAAGGUUUACCGCCUUGGGAUAGGCUUGCGUCUGAUUAGCUAGUUGGUGUGGUAACGGCACACCAAGGCUACGAUCAGUAACUGGUCUAAGAGGAUGAUCAGUCACACUGGAACUGAGACACGGUCCAGACUCCUACGGGAGGCAGCAGUGAGGAAUAUUGGGCAAUGCUCGAAAGAGUGACCCAGCAACGCCGCGUGGAGGAUGAAGGUAUUCUAUAUCGUAAACUCCUGUGAGAGCAGACGAAAGACAGAUUAUUAAUCUGGAUGACUGUAUGCUCAGAGGAAGCCCCGGCUAACUACGUG
rnacentral:rRNA from 1 species